rnacentral:rRNA from 1 species
GUGGGGAAUCUUAGACAAUGGGCGCAAGCCUGAUCUAGCCAUGCCGCGUGAUCGAUGAAGGCCUUAGGGUUGUAAAGAUCUUUCAGUGGGGAAGAUAAUGACUGUACCCACAGAAGAAGCCCCGGCUAACUCCGUGCCAGCAGCCGCGGUAAUACGGAGGGGGCUCGCGUUGUUCGGAAUUACUGGGCGUAAAGCGCACGUAGGCGGAACAGAAAGUCAGAGGUGAAAUCCCAGGGCUCAACCUUGGAACUGCCUUUGAAACUCCUGUUCUUGAGUUCGAGAGAGGUGAGUGGAAUUCCGAGUGUAGAGGUGAAAUUCGUAGAUAUUCGGAGGAACACCAGUGGCGAAGGCGGCUCACUGGCUCGAUACUGACGCUGAGGUGCGAAAGCGUGGGGAGCAAACAGGAUUAGAAACCCCAGUAGUCC